CCCGGCGACCGGCGCACGGGUGAGUAACACGUAUGCAACCUGGCCGUGACAGAUGGAUAACCGGGAGAAAUCCCGCCUAAUACAACAUAAUGCCGGGAGGGGACAUCCCCUGCCGGCCAAAGGGGGCGACCCCGGUCACGGAUGGGCAUGCGGCGCAUUAGGUAGUUGGUGGGGCAACGGCCCACCAAGCCGACGAUGCGUAGGGGUUCUGAGAGGAAGGUCCCCCACAUUGGAACUGAGACACGGUCCAAACUCCUACGGAAGGCAGCAG
rnacentral:rRNA from 1 species